UACGUAGGGGGCAAGCGUUGUCCGGAUUUAUUGGGCGUAAAGAGCGUGUAGGCGGCCAAGCAGGUCCGCUGUGAAAACUCGAGGCUCAACCUCGAGAGGUCGGUGGAAACCGUUUGGCUAGAGUCCGGAAGAGGAGAGUGGAAUUCCCGGUGUAGCGGUGGAAUGCGUAGAGAUCCGGAAGAACACCGGUGGCGAAGGCGGCCUGCUGGGCAGUAGCUGACACUGAGGCGCGACAGCGUGGGGAGCAAACAGG
rnacentral:rRNA from 1 species